AUUGAACGCUGGCGGCAGGCUUAACACAUGCAAGUCGAGCGGGGAGAUGUAGCUUGCUACAUCUCCUAGCGGCGGACGGGUGAGUAAUGCUUAGGAAUCUGCCUAUUAGUGGGGGACAACAUUCCGAAAGGAAUGCUAAUACCGCAUACGCCCUACGGGGGAACGCAGGGGAUCUUCGGACCUUGCGCUCUUAGAUGAGCCUAAGUCGGAUUAGCUAGUUGGUGGGGUAAAGGCCUACCAAGGCGACGAUCUGUAGCGGGUCUGAGAGGAUGAUCCGCCACACUGGGACUGGGACACGGGCCAGACUCCUACGGGAGGCAGCAGUGGGGAAUAAUGGACAAUGGGCGCAAGCCUGAACCAGCCAAGCCGCGUGUGGGAAGAAGGCCUUUUGGUUGGAAAGGACUUUAAGCGAGGAGGAGGCUGCUUUAGUUAAUACCUAAGGAGAGUUGACGGUACUCGAAGAAUAAGCACCGGCUAACUCUGUG
rnacentral:rRNA from 1 species